rnacentral:misc_RNA from 1 species
UUGAUUGGUCGAAAGACCUUAUCAGAUUCUACCACCUCUGUGAACCGUUGACCUCCGGGUUAAUAAUCAAACAUCAGCGUAACGAACGUAAGAGUAUCUUAAUUAAACA